rnacentral:rRNA from 1 species
UGGGGAAUAUUGCACAAUGGGGGAAACCCUGAUGCAGCGACGCCGCGUGAGCGAAGAAGGUUUUCGAAUCGUAAAGCUCUGUCCUAUGAGAAGAUAAUGACGGUAUCAUAGGAGGAAGCCCCGGCUAAAUACGUGCCAGCAGCCGCUGUAAUACGUAUGUUGCGAGCGUUAUCCGGAAUUAUUGGGCUUAAAGGGCAUCUAGGCGGUAAGACAAGUUGAAGGUGAAAACCUGUGGCUCAACCAUAGGCUUGCCUACAAAACUGUUGAACUAGAGUACUGGAAAGGUGGGUGGAACUACACGAGUAGAGGUGAAAUUCGUAGAUAUGUGUAGGAAUGCCGAUGAUGAAGAUAACUCACUGGACAGAAACUGACGCUGAAGUGCGAAAGCUAGGGGAGCAAACAGG